UCCGAUCCUCUUCUUCCUCACACACACAGAGAGAGAGAGAGAGAGAGAGAGAGCUGAACCUGCAGACACUUUCGAGCGCGCACCGCAGACGCGUCCACACUUCGCGCUUUCUCUUCGCCGAGACUCACAAAGGAAAUACAUCCGACCAGACGCGCGGAGACGCGCCGAGACCGAACCGAGCCGAAGCGGAUCCGGAACCGGAUCGGGCAACAGGAGGGUCUCGAACACAGUCCAACUGGAUGUUGCGUCGCGCUUUCCGUGGUGCUGAAAUGAUCUGAUCUGCUCUCAGUCCGAAUCAUCAUCAUCAUCAUCAUCUGCACAGCGGUGUCUUCGCUUCUGAGCUGAGAUGCUCUUCGUGGAUUGUAAGAUGGUGGACGUUCUUCGCGGUCGGAGGAGGCUGCGGGUGUCCGUCUGCAAGCCGCCCUGCUCCUUCUGGUUUCUGCUGCUGUUCGGGGUCGGAGGACUCGUUCUCUUCAUCCAUCUGCAGGAUCUGUCCGAUAUGGUGCUUCAGCAGGCCCCAGAGAAUCCCGCCGAAAUCCGCUUGUAUCGGAGAAAACGCUAGCAGUGUGAAGCCUCCCAGAAUGCAACAGGCUUCCGGUGAUUCUCGGGGUCAAAGGCUGUCGCUUUCGCAAUGCCAUAAAGUCAUUAGCACGGGAAAAACAAAUGUAAAAAGCGGGAAGUCGAGCUUCAGUAAUCCGUCCAUCUGUCUGUGUUCGUGAAACUCAGUUUAAUUAAAGCUCACUGAUGACCCUCAGCUCGGACUCAGACGACGCUUCUCAAACAGUCUUCGGUUUCUCCUCCUUUCAUUGGACCGCCUCGGCUCCGGAGGAUCUGUAAACACAGACGUGAGCAGUUUGUCCCUAAUGUGAAAACAGCAGACGAGUAUUGACAAGCGCUCCACAAGGUGUAGAUAACAAACCCCAGCGUGUGUGUGUGUGUGUGUGUGUGAUUAGUUAGUCUUGCCAAGUGUAGCAGAAACUCUGCUUUAUUUUGACGCUUAUUAUUGUUGGAGCAGGUCAGCGUCCACUAGAGGAGAACAACAGUAGACAUUUAGGAAUGCCUUUCAGUGUGUGUGUGUGUGUGUGUGUGUGUGUGUGUGUGUGUGUGCUUUGGGACCUCAGUUUGUACCAUGUUCAUCCGAAGUGCAGCCAUUCUAAAAGCAAUGAUCUUUUUCAAGAAAACAUUUAAAUGAGUGUGAGUGAGUGUGUAAAUGUGUGCUUGUGUGCGUGUGUGUGUGCGCAUGAGUGUGAGAGAGUGUGUGUGUGUGUGUGUGUGCGCAUGAGUGUGAGUGAGUGAG